rnacentral:siRNA from 1 species
GGGUCCGUUUAGAAAAUGAGUCGA